GGAGAGGUGGCUGAGUGGUCGAAAGCAGUCGCCUGCUAAGCGAUUGGCCUGGGAAACCGGGCCCCUGGGUUCGAAUCCCAGCCUCUCCG
rnacentral:tRNA from 1 species